rnacentral:misc_RNA from 1 species
AAGAAAAAGGCCUUCAGUUUGACAGCUACACGGCAUGCAUGAAGCAGGAUAAAAAACAAGAAUAAAGUUAUCACCGCUCAAAUAGCAGCAAAGGCUUUUCAGAGCACCAAAACAAUGAGCACAUAAAAAAUGCUUCUUAUUGUAUUUGGUCUCAUGGGCUUUUAAAUAUCACAAUAUUGACAAAAAUUAGUGUCAAAAGGAUAUUUCAUUUAUAUAUAGAAAUUAAGAUUUAAGAAGCAGCACCACAAACAUCAUUUAGACCAAAGGCUCAAAAUUGGCCCUUAAAAUUUAAUACAAUAGUCAAAUUAGCCCUCUAUUUUUAUUUACAGUCAAUUGAACCCUUCAAAAUUCAACUAUAUUUUAGGCCCCUUUUAUUUCAAUUUUGGCUCAAUUAAACCCAAUUUCAGUUACGUGCUCAUGCGACAAAAAUGGACGCUCAAUUCAAUCAAUUACCAAAAAUAAAUUUUAAAAAAUAAUAAUCAACUCAAAAACAAAUCUGGGUUUCUUUUUCCUCAUCAUUAUUGCCAUUUUCUUCAAAACCAACUUUAGCUCAUACAUGCCCUCCUCAUGGAUCUCAACUAAAACCACCGCAUCAAUCACCACCUUCACUUAAUCUAUAACAAAUAAAUUAAUAAUUGCUUACCCCUAAAAGCUUGCCUGCAAGUAUCUGUUUACUGAAUACACUAUUCACUGCACCUUAACAAUGCCCCACUAAACUACCCACAAACCAUCAAAAACCAUACCAAUAUCAAAAUGUUAAAAGGGGAAAAAAAAAAGUUAUGGUCUUAGCUUUUGGAAACUAAAACGAUCCUCAACAAAUCUAAUCAGGAACAAGAAGUUGAAAUAAUAAGAACCCAGUAACUACUAAAGUUGAGAUCUCUUAAAGAUUAAUGAAUUUGAGAGUUGUUUGUAAAACCUGAAAAUGGUUUCUUCUAGAGAGAGCAAAGAUAUGUUUCAGAAGAGUUUAGACCCUAGAAAAGUUUGCAGGGAAAAUUUGCAGCGAAGAAGCUUUUGAUUAUGGAUGUUUGUAAGGGUUAGAGGAGAAAUUUUGAUAUUGGAGGUGGUGAAUUUGGUGUUGAUGAAGAAGAUAAGAAGGAAAAGCAGAUAUUAUGUUCAUUUUUUUUGCAGGUUUUGUAAAUGAUUAAGAAUUUCUUAUAAUUUUUAAAAAAUAUUUUUAAUUAUUAAAACAUAAAAAUAAUAUUUUACUCAUUAACUAUCUUCUUUACUAAAUCUUUUAAUGCUGUUAGUCAACACCGUUAAUUUUAGACUUACUAGGGUGAAUUUGAAUUGUGUAAGGCUUAAUUGACUGUGAAUAAAAAUGGAGGGCUAAAUUGACUUUUGAACUAAACUGUAGGGGCAUAUACAGGCCUUUGGCCCAUCAUUAAAGGGAAAACUCGA